rnacentral:lncRNA from 1 species
GUUCUUUCACGUUUUUCUUAACAUUUUCUUUUUUUCUCCUCUUCAGUAUCCUCGAAGUGGACGAGUCAGUUCUCCUAUUGUGGUAUGGAAGAUGAAAGCUCCUGAGAAAAAGCCACUUGUUCGACGAGAGAAACCAGAAGAGGUUCGGGCAAAGGUGCGGAAAGGAUCACAGAAGAAGAACAUUGCUCCAAUUAAAGCCUUGAGUGAAUUUCAUAGUACAGCUGAUUCUGUGUGAAGUCAAAAGCUGAAUUUCUGGAGAAUAUAAAAAAAAAAGUUUGAAUUUUUGCAACAACCGAAAAGGUUGUGAAGUUUCUUUAGUGGAUCGUAACGUGUGGUUGUUGACUUCAGUUUCUUGUAAAGUAUUUUAUGGCAUGGAAAGAGAAGACAAAUUUUUUUAGUUUUCAUAAGAUAGUAAUUUCAUUUAUAUUUGUUGCUACUCAAGUAAAUAUGGAUGCCUAUUUAUUCAUUUAUAGUGUCAAAAUACAUUUCGACUUGCAGUAGAUAAAAUGCUUUUAUUCAACGGUAUUUUUUAACUGUUAUUUUUCAGUGGUAUCUCUUUUUUUGUGUUUGGUUUUAUUAUUUUUGAUAUAUAUAUAUAUAUAUAUAUAUAGAUAGAUAGAUAGAUAAAUGCAUUUAUAUUAUGUGAUUACAUUUACUGCAUAGUUACAUUUAAAGUUUCAAUUGAUUCUUAAGGUCAUCCCUUAAAAUAAGUAAUAGAAAAUGAAGUCUUAAUAUUUUUUUAGAAUUGAAAUUACAAUGAACUAGGUAUACCAUGAAUAACAAAGUUAACUGUUUUGUAUUGUGUGAGUGCCUGAUUGUGAAGAGUUGGAUGAUAAGAUAUGCAAAAAAAGAAAGUACAGAAAAUAAAUUCACCUUAAGAUUUUGAAGAGUAAGUGUGAACUGCCGGUAUUUUAACUUUGUUUUUAUGUUAUUGUGAAACACCGUAUCAUGUGGUUCUCUUUGAUGAUUGGAUCUAUGAUCUAAUACUUCAUAAUUUCUCAAUAUCAACAGGUCUUACAUGUUAGGUAGCAAUUGUUUAUAAAAGGUGUAACAUGUUAAUAUGAAAGUUUUUUUAUUUUUAAGUAUAUUUUUUAAAAACGUUAUCAACAAUCUUCGAACCUGAAUCUUUUCAAAUUUCGUUUUUAAUACUCAAAGUUUUAGCAAGUUUUAUGAAGAGGUUUUUUUCUUUUGUCAUGAGCCUCUUUAAGUUUUUUUUUUAAGCCGACAGAUGGAUUGUAUUUUAUAAUUUAUGCAAAAGUUGCUCUGGUUUGUGAAGUUUAAAUCAAAGUUAAUCUGCAGAGGAUUUGAUUAUUGAUUUUCAUGGUAAAGAUUAUUAAUAAGCUAGAAAAAAAAAAUUAAAAUUAACACAAAGUUUCAGAGCUUCAAACAAGUAUUGUAUAUAAAGGGUGAAAUUAUUGAUGUUAGGUGUUUUAUUAUGUGACUUUUCUAAGCCUAGUUUUUCUACUAAAGUCUGGUUUCAAAAAGAAAAAGUAUAAAGUCAUUCCAUAACAUUGAAAUAGUGUAUAAUGUAUAUUACACUAUUCACAUUAUAAAGGUUAUUGUAUGUGACCUGUAAGCAAGCACAAGUGAAAUCUGCUCUCAGAUCGAGGUGUAAAAAAUAUGAAUAUAGUUGCAGGUCACCAAGUUGCACAUAUUUAGUUGUGUUGUCAUUCUGCAAUUAAAGGCAGACUUAUUGACAGAAGUAGUUUGUGAUCGUAGUUCUUGAAGUAGCAUUAUUUGAAAAAGUAGCAGUUUGUAAAAAAAUUUAGUUAGUAAUUAGUGUUUUCUACAUUUUUUUUAAUUGUGUAAGUAAUGAGGCAGGUUCCUCCUUUUUGCUUUACCAGUGGUCACGUAUUUAGAUAUGUAGUGUGUAUGUGCGUGAAGUUUGUAUGGGGAAAAAGUAAAGUGAAAUAAUAUUAAUGUUCUUGUCUUCCUGCUUUUUUUACGAGCUUCUCAUUUCGUCCAUACAGCAUAUAGAAUGGUCAGUUUUAUAUGUUUACUGUUCCAUCUAUGGCUACUUUGUGCACUGUGAAUGUAAGAUAAGGUGAAGUUAUUAUGUGAAAGUUAAAGUAUUCCUAAGAAGAGCAGCUAUUUUUUUUUCUUCUUAUUAUUUUGUUCUGUAGAACUAUAUACGAUUUUAAUUAUCUGUGGAACUGGUACUAAUAGUGUGGUUUUGAAUACAUCAGAGUCCGUUUCUAGCUGCAGUUUCAUCUAAAAUGCAUUUGGGUUCGCUGAAUCCUUUGUUAAGUACAUUAUUUUUCCUGUGUUUUGAGCUUUGUUUAAUCAUCAGAGGAAUUGUGAAGUAUUUUUCUUUUCAAACUAGAGUUUUACUGUUGUUGUUUUUUAAGCUGAAUUUAAUUAACAUAGAAUUGUUAAUUAGGAAAAAGAAAACUUUUUUUACUAUCAUGUUUUGGAUUUUUUUGUGAGUUUAACCCGAUAUCUGUUGGACUUUAGUUUUGUAUCUGUUCCUUUAUAAUUGAGAAUUUUUCAUUUAGGAGAAGCAAAAUAUUUUAACGUGUUGGAAAUUUGACAAGCAAUCAGCUUCUUUCAUGGAGUUACUACACACACAGCUGCUUAAAUCUCAUUGGUGGAAAAGAUUACUACAACUAACAAAGAUUGUUUAAAAAAGAAAAUGAGCAAUUAAAAAUUUAGGUUUUUCCUUCUAACCAAAAACUCAAAUAUAAAAAUUAAUAUACAGAUCUGAAAUACUAAUUAAUGUGUUGGCAGAUUUUUUUUUCCAUCUGAUUAUGUGCAUCUGAUCAGGAUGUGAUACACUGAAAAAUACAUCAUUGUUCCAUCUUGAUGAUAGGGUCUUUGGAGCUCAUAUUUACUUAUCUUGGCUAGGAAGGUAAAAGAUGAAAGAAGUUUUUGUCAUCAGUAGAGAAUCAUUCAGACUGUUGAACGCUGAUGUUAUUAUAGUCAUUAGUAUGUGUUUCAACUAGCUUUUGGUUACAAAAAAAACAAUACUCCAUUAGUAGCUUACGUUUUUUUUCCAAUAGGGGGAUUGUCGUCAUUUCAUUUGUUUCUGAUUAAAUACUUUCACUGUUGAUCAAAAUGAACACAAAUGUUGUACUUGCUUACAAAAAAAAUAUGAUACAAGUAUCUUGAAGAUUGCCUCUGUCUUUAGACCAAGGUCAUAGUGAACAAUGUCAAAUAACAUACAGGGUAAUUGGAAAGGGCCACUAGAUACCAAAUAUAAUAUUGUGAUAAAUCUUGUAUUUCAUUACCAUAGCUGUAUAGACUCCUGCAAUAAAAAGGAAGUUAAGGACAAUAGCAUAAGAAGUAAAAAUGCAGGUUAGAGAUUGUGUUUGAACACACCACAGUUAUUAUCUGAAAAUAGUGUUUAAAUGAAGUAAUUAAUGUUUUUCGUAAGUAAUUCAUUUCAAAGUGGACAUUUUUUAAGACUCGAAAGUUUCAUCACUCUUUAGGAUAUUUCCUCGUAACUUUAAUUCUGUAGCACUACCCCCCCCCCCUUAUUUAUUUUUUUAAAUUCAAACUUUGCAGGUUUUAGGUUAAUCGAAAGGUUAGGGUUUACCAAUAAACUUGAGUUGAAGGAACAACAGGGUUACCUUUUUUUUUAAGGCAUUAGUGAUAAGGUUGCAGUAACUAUAUAUAAAAAGUUGUAUGCUUCUGCUACUUCCAAACUGUAUACGACUGUAAGAGUCGAUGAGUUGAGUUUUAAGUUGAGAAAAAAAUUUUCAUUGUUAAAAUUGAUUUUGAUUUUCACGUUCUAAAACUUGUCAACAGAAAAGGAAAGG